rnacentral:rRNA from 1 species
AGAGUUUGAUCAUGGCUCAGGAUGAACGCUAGCGGCAGGCUUAAUACAUGCAAGUCGUGGGGCAGCAGCUUUGUAGCAAUACAGAGGCUGGCGACCGGCAAACGGGUGCGGAACACGUACGCAACCUACCCAUAACUGGGGAAUAGCCCCGGGGAAACCCGGAUUAAUACCCCGUAACAUAUUGAUAAGGCAUCUUAUUAAUAUUAUAGCUCCGGCGGUUAUGGAUGGGCGUGCGCCUGAUUAGGUAGUUGGCGGGGUAACGGCCCACCAAGCCUACGAUCAGUAACUGGUGUGAGAGCACGACCAGUCACACGGGCACUGAGACACGGGCCCGACUCCUACGGGAGGCAGCAGUAAGGAAUAUUGGUCAAUGGACGCAAGUCUGAACCAGCCAUGCCGCGUGGAGGAUGAAGGUCCUCUGGAUUGUAAACUUCUUUUAUCUGGGAAGAAACCCAUGAAUUCUUUUGUGGUUGACGGUACCAGAUGAAUAAGCACCGGCUAACUCCGUGCCAGCAGCCGCGGUAAUACGGAGGGUGCAAGCGUUAUCCGGAUUUACUGGGUUUAAAGGGUGCGUAGGCGGAAUGGUAAGUCCGUGGUGAAAUCCCCGAGCUUAACUUGGGAACUGCCAUGGAUACUAUCAAUCUUGAAUAUCAUGGAGGUAAGCGGAAUAUGUCAUGUAGCGGUGAAAUGCUUAGAUAUGACAUAGAACACCAAUUGCGAAGGCAGCUUACUACGCGAUUAUUGACGCUGAGGCACGAAAGCGUGGGGAUCGAACAGGAUUAGAUACCCUAGUAGUCC